GUAACAUCAUGAAAGAGUUAAAUAAUAGUAACAAUUGUUACCAAGACGACGUCGUACUUUCGUGUUGUACGAACCAACGCUUCAAUCAUUUUUGCCGUUUCUAAAGGUCAUCGUUUCUUUCAAUAAAGGUCGACAGGAGGUACCUACUUUAAAGGUAUCGAAACUCUAGACACGUAUAUGUAUGAUGAUACUAUUAGUCAUUGUAGUUAAACUGUACUUUCUUCCAGCUUGUUAUGGCUUAAACAUUCAGCUUUUUAGCCGAAGAACCAGUAAAAUACUAAUGAAAUUACAUCAAAAAAAAUGGAAAUAUUAAUUAUCAAUAUUAGUAUUCUUCAUAAAAGCGUAUUUAUAGAUUCCUUUAUUACGCCAGCUCUGCAUAUGUUAUAACGCAACUACACAUACCUAUACAGUAAAACAUUUUUUUAAAUGCUUGGAUGGUUAUUAAAAAUGAUAAACAUUUGUAUAAUAUAGUGGGGGAAGACAGGACACCUUUGGUACAUGAUAUCCGCGUAUACCGAUCGUGUUUUAAAGAGUCUGGACCACGCUCAUACAAGUUGGUUUUAAAUCAAAAUUUACACCUAAUAAAUACUACCUGUGGAAUUUUUUUGUCAAAAAAAUAUUUAGUUUGGCCAAAAAAACGUUUUAAAAAGUGCCAAAAAAUUCGCCUAUGGUUGCGUAACUAGCGGGCACUAUGACGUAAAUUACGUCACGAUCCUGUUCUAAUCGAACAGCUGAUUUAGGCUUUGCUGGCGGAAAAUGAAAUUAUGUUUGCAGCAAAACAGAGUGUGCAGUGUACCGUUCACUUAGCGUUUUCUGUUACUUUUAAAUUAAGUAGUAUGCGUAAAUAUUGCCGUGGCCUGAUUUGAGUUAAUGUUUUUAAAAUUGUUUGUAAGUGUACUACAGUAUUACACUAUUUAAAUUUGUCAGUUAACAAUAAUGUAAAAGUGUGUGAUGUAUAGUCAUGUAGAAGUAUUUUAUCUGAUGAAGUGCUUGAACCUGUACUUCCAGCAAGUGUUGGGGAAGUAGACAGGCCAAGUUUACCUACCAUGGAAAACAAGUCAAGCUGAGCAAAU